GACGAACGCUGGCGGCGUGCUUAACACAUGCAAGUCGAACGAAGAGCGAUGGAAGCUUGCUUCUAUCAAUCUUAGUGGCGCACGGGUGAGUAACGCGUAAUCAACCUGCCCUUCAGAGGGGGACAACAGUUGGAAACGACUGCUAAUACCGCAUACGAUCCAAUCUCGGCAUCGGGACUGGAUGAAAGGUGGCCUCUAUUUAUAAGCUAUCACUGAAGGAGGGGAUUGCGUCUGAUUAGCUAGUUGGAGGGGUAACGGCCCACCAAGGCGAUGAUCAGUAGCCGGUCUGAGAGGAUGAACGGCCACAUUGGGACUGAGACACGGCCCAGACUCCUACGGGAGGCAGCAGUGGGGAAUCUUCCGCAAUGGACGAAAGUCUGACGGAGCAACGCCGCGUGAGUGAUGACGGCCUUCGGGUUGUAAAGCUCUGUUAAUCGGGACGAAUGGUUCUUGUGCGAAUAGUGCGAGGAUUUGACGGGACCGGAAUAGAAAGCCACGGCGAACUACGU
rnacentral:rRNA from 1 species